UAAUAGAAAAGUAUUAUGGUAGAGUAUUAUGGUAUUUGGUAAAAAUAUAAGCGCGGGACACUCAAUUUUUGGCGGCAUACAUCAUUUUCAUUUUUUAUUAUUUUACUUUUAAGGGCGCUAAAGUAAGAGCAAUGUAUCUCUUAAUAACUAGGUUUACUUAUUAUUAUUUUUAUUUAUCUCUCAAACUCAAUUCAGCCUUGCUUAAUAAAAAAAAAACACAAACUUCUACUUAUUUUAUCGCCAGUCUCAUCUCUCCCUCAUUUUAUCUAUAAAACCCAGCAACAACCAUCUCUCUCCUCCCUUUGCACCCUUUAUCCAUCCAUUGUAAAUCAAGCUAUCACUCUCAUACUAUAAGCUUGGAGGGAGGCUAGGAUCAUGUACACUUGGAUUGAUGCUAUUUUAGGAAUUUUCUUCCUGUAUUGAAAGGUACAUAGAUCUUUGAAUAUAUAUACAAAUAUAUAUAUAUAUUUAUACAUAUUAUACGAAAUUCUAGGGUUUUAUAUGAAUGCUUACAUUUGCGAAUUUUUCUUUCUUUCCGGGUUUGCAUAUAAUUAUUUUUUUAGAAUGCCUCAAAAUUACUAGUGGGUAUCCCAUUUAAUUUUCAAAAGCUCCAAUUUGAGCCCUGGAUUGAGUUCACUUUUCUUUUUGUUUUUUUUCAUCUGUUAUUUUUUUUUCUUUCAUUCUUUAAUGAGUUGAUGUAUUUCUCGUUCAUGUCAAAUGGAUUUGAGAGGUUCUCAUCAAAGACACAAACAAUCAUUCAUUAUUAAUAUUUGUGUAUAUAAAUAAUAUAUAUUUAUAUAUUAAGCAUAUAAGUUCCAUUUUUAUUGAUUAGGCAUGUCAUUACUUUUUCUUUUCACAUGAAUAUGGACAUUGUUCACUUAAACCUUUACUUUGUUUUUUAUUAGCACAUACAAAAGGAGAACAAUGAUUUGUGUGGAAAAAUUGGGAAGAGAACAAGGAGACCUCUAUACAAAAGGAGAUCAAGAAAAAAGGUGAUAUAGGCGUAAUCUAGUUUUUGUUUCAAUUGAUUACUUGAUUUUUUGUUUUAUGUGCUUUUUUAUUUUAUUUGCUUGUAAUUUGCUAGCUUUUCUUUCUUUCCUAAUUUGUGGAUCAUGUGUUUGUUAAAAUGCCUUAAUGAGACUAGUGUUUGUGUCAUUUAUUGUUGAGUGGAAAUCGAUGUAUUAAACAACUUAUUUUGUGGGUAAUUUUCCUCUGUUUUCAUCUUCCUCCUUAAGUUUAUCAAUUUGAAUAGACAUAAGUACCUUAGUUGUUGGUAAUAAUAUUUUUAAUGCUAAUACUGCAAUGGAAGGUACCUUCGAAGCCACUAUCAUCAAAGUUGUUCAUAUGUCAACUUGUCUCUCACGGUGAAAUUGACGGCUACCGAUCACUGCUCAUUAUCUUGGGUUUGAAUCAGAUUUGAUAUUAUUUAUGAGCUACAUGUAGUAUUAUAUAAUACAUACCACGUUGAACUUUUUAUAUGUGAUAAUGGUAUAUAUAAACUACUUAUUCAUCUUUAUAACUAAGUACAUAUCAUUCUUUAAUUUGUCUACAAUAAGUUAGAAUAGGGUAUUUUUGGUUCUGGGUUUUGCAUGAGGAAGAGUAGGUUGAGUAAUGAUUAAUGCACGAGGAGGAGUAGGUUGAGUAAUGGCUAAUGGGGAAGAGAAAAUUAGUAACUUUUAUCGUCUUGGGUUUAAAAAUGAAGUAUUACAUUGAUGAAAACAUAUUUUAGAAUGGAUGCCAUAUUAUUUGUUAUAUGGAUAAUAUACUUCUUUGACUCUUGUGGUAAUAUCAUAAUUUCAAAUUUAUUAAAAAUACAUAAUAAUAUAUAGUGUUACAAGCUUAGACAACAAAUAACAAAAAAUAAAAAGAAAAAAAAUGUGA